UGGAAGUAAAAAGUAACAAGGUUUCCGUAGGUGAACCUGCGGAAGGAUCAUUACCGAGUGCGGGUCCUUUGGGCCCAACCUCCCAUCCGUGUCUAUUGUACCCUGUUGCUUCGGCGGGCCCGCCGCUUGUCGGCCGCCGGGGGGGCGCCUCUGCCCCCCGGGCCCGUGCCCGCCGGAGACCCCAACACGAACACUGUCUGAAAGCGUGCAGUCUGAGUUGAUUGAAUGCAAUCAGUUAAAACUUUCAACAAUGGAUCUCUUGGUUCCGGCAUCGAUGAAGAACGCAGCGAAAUGCGAUAACUAAUGUGAAUUGCAGAAUUCAGUGAAUCAUCGAGUCUUUGAACGCACAUUGCGCCCCCUGGUAUUCCGGGGGGCAUGCCUGUCCGAGCGUCAUUGCUGCCCUCAAGCCCGGCUUGUGUGUUGGGUCGCCGUCCCCCUCUCCGGGGGGACGGGCCCGAAAGGCAGCGGCGGCACCGCGUCCGAUCCUCGAGCGUAUGGGGCUUUGUCACAUGCUCUGUAGGAUUGGCCGGCGCCUGCCGACGUUUUCCAACCAUUCUUCCAGGUGACCUCGGAUCAGGUAUGAUGCCAAUACCCU
rnacentral:rRNA from 1 species